rnacentral:rRNA from 1 species
AGAGUUUGAUCCUGGCUCAGAUUGAACGCUGGCGGCAUGCCUUACACAUGCAAGUCGAACGGCAGCACGGGUGCUUGCACCUGGUGGCGAGUGGCGAACGGGUGAGUAAUACAUCGGAACAUGUCCUGUAGUGGGGGAUAGCCCGGCGAAAGCCGGAUUAAUACCGCAUACGAUCUACGGAUGAAAGCGGGGGACCUUCGGGCCUCGCGCUAUAGGGUUGGCCGAUGGCUGAUUAGCUAGUUGGUGGGGUAAAGGCCUACCAAGGCGACGAUCAGUAGCUGGUCUGAGAGGACGACCAGCCACACUGGGACUGAGACACGGCCCAGACUCCUACGGGAGGCAGCAGUGGGGAAUUUUGGACAAUGGGCGAAAGCCUGAUCCAGCAAUGCCGCGUGUGUGAAGAAGGCCUUCGGGUUGUAAAGCACUUUUGUCCGGAAAGAAAUCCUUGGCUCUAAUACAGUCGGGGGAUGACGGUACCGGAAGAAUAAGCACCGGCUAACUACGUGCCAGCAGCCGCGGUAAUACGUAGGGUGCGAGCGUUAAUCGGAAUUACUGGGCGUAAAGCGUGCGCAGGCGGUUUGCUAAGACCGAUGUGAAAUCCCCGGGCUCAACCUGGGAACUGCAUUGGUGACUGGCAGGCUAGAGUAUGGCAGAGGGGGGUAGAAUUCCACGUGUAGCAGUGAAAUGCGUAGAGAUGUGGAGGAAUACCGAUGGCGAAGGCAGCCCCCUGGGCCAAUACUGACGCUCAUGCACGAAAGCGUGGGGAGCAAACAGGAUUAGAUACCCUGGUAGUCCACGCCCUAAACGAUGUCAACUAGUUGUUGGGGAUUCAUUUCCUUAGUAACGUAGCUAACGCGUGAAGUUGACCGCCUGGGGAGUACGGUCGCAAGAUUAAAACUCAAAGGAAUUGACGGGGACCCGCACAAGCGGUGGAUGAUGUGGAUUAAUUCGAUGCAACGCGAAAAACCUUACCUACCCUUGACAUGGUCGGAAUCCCGCUGAGAGGUGGGAGUGCUCGAAAGAGAACCGGCGCACAGGUGCUGCAUGGCUGUCGUCAGCUCGUGUCGUGAGAUGUUGGGUUAAGUCCCGCAACGAGCGCAACCCUUGUCCUUAGUUGCUACGCAAGAGCACUCUAAGGAGACUGCCGGUGACAAACCGGAGGAAGGUGGGGAUGACGUCAAGUCCUCAUGGCCCUUACGGGCUGGGCUACACACGUGCUACAAUGGCGGUGACAGUGGGAAGCUAAGGGGUGACCCUUCGCAAAUCUCAAAAAGCCGUCUCAGUUCGGAUUGGGCUCUGCAACUCGAGCCCAUGAAGUUGGAAUCGCUAGUAAUCGUGGAUCAGCACGCCACGGUGAAUACGUUCCCGGGCCUUGUACACACCGCCCGUCACACCAUGGGAGUUGGCUUUACCUGAAGGCGGUGCGCUAACCAGCAAUGGAGGCAGCCGACCACGGUAGGGUCAGCGACUGGGGUGAAGUCGAAACAAGGUAGCCGUAGG